CCUACGGGGGGCAGCAGUGGGGAAUUUUGCUCAAUGGGGGAAACCCUGAAGCAGCAACGCCGCGUGAGGGAUGAAGGCCUUCGGGUUGUAAACCUCUUUUGUCAGGGACGAUGAUGACGGUACCUGGCGAAUAAGCCACGGCUAACUACGUGCCAGCAGCCGCGGUAAUACGUAGGUGGCAAGCGUUGUCCGGAUUUACUGGGCGUAAAGAGCGCGCAGGCGGUCUUGUAAGUCGAGUGUGAAAGCCCCUGGCUCAACCAGGGAGGGUCAUUCGAUACUGCUUGACUCGAAGGCAGGAGAGGGAAGUGGAAUUCCGGGUGUAGUGGUGAAAUGCGUAGAUAUCCGGAGGAACACCAGUGGCGAAGGCGACUUUCUGGCCUGUUCUUGACGCUGAGGCGCGAAAGCUAGGGGAGCAAACGGGAUUAGAUACCCCAGUAGUC
rnacentral:rRNA from 1 species